rnacentral:rRNA from 1 species
CCAAUAGCGUAUAUUAAAGUUGUUGCAGUUAAAAAGCUCGUAGUUGAAUUUCGGGACCAAUAUGUCGGUCGUGCUUCGGUACGUACUUGCAUUAUUGGUUUCUCCCUUCUGAAGAACCAUGAUGUCAUUAAUUUGGUGUCUUGGGGAAUCAGGACUGUUACUUUGAAAAAAUUAGAGUGUUUAAAGCAGGCUCACGCUUGAAUACAUUAGCAUGGAAUAAUGAAAUAGGACGUUUGAUUCUAUUUUGUUGGUUUCUAGGUUCGACGUAAUGAUUAAUAGGGAUAGUUGGGGGGAUUAGUAUUUAAUUGUCAGAGGUGAAAUUCUUGGAUUUAUUGAAGACUAACUACUGCGAAAGCAUUUGCCAAGGAUGUUUUCAUUAAUCAAGAACGAAAGUUAGGGGAGCGAAGACGAUCAGAUACCGUCGUAGUCUUAACCAUAAACUAUGCCGACUAGGGAUCGGAUGAUGUUAUUUUUGAUGACUCAUUCGGCGCCUUACG